rnacentral:snoRNA from 1 species
AUGCCCACUGAUUAUAAAAAGACGCGUUAUUCUGAGGAAUUCAACCAGCUACCAGUCUUUCUUCUGUCUUUUACUCCAUCUUUGAUCUCCUCCAUCUUUCCUGUCCUCCUCUAUUCCCUCUCCUCUCCUCUCCUCUCCUCUUUAAACUGGUGGCUGGUCCGCUGACUGCGAUUAUGAGAUAUGAGGGCAU